GAAAUUCCUUCUGUAAAAUAUCCAUCCAUCCACAUGUCUUCUAACCACUUAUCUAAGUCUGAGACUCAGGUCUUGUAAAAUAUUCCAAAUAUUUACAGUACAAUAUUAAACCUAAUUAUAGUCAAUAAAAACAUUAUUUGAUUAUUGAAUGACAUUACUUGAUUAAUGAACGACAAAAAAACUACCUGUGUGAUUGAUCAAUGUUAAGCUUAAAAGCAUAUUUAUUAUUAGACUAAAACAAAAAACAUGUUAACAUUUUUGCUGUAAAAGUGAAGUCUAAAAUCAGGACAUAGACCUUCAGACCUGUUUUUCACCAUUAGUCUUGUAACCAUCUAUCCAUCUUCUUAUCCCUUCUCCUCGUCGGGGUCACAGGGGGUCCUGGAGCCUGUCCCAGCCAAUCCAUUCAUUAGGUGAGUCAACAGAUGUUCUAUAGGACUGACGCCAUUCUAAGACACUGCUUUCCAUUUUUAAGCAAUUUCUUGGUUGACGUGGUUGUGUCCUUGUGUUGAUCAGUGAAAUUCUUCUUAAACUUUAGUUUUCUGGCAGAGGACAAAAUGUCAUUAUAUUUGGAACUAUUAAUUUCCUCCCUUCUUCUGACCAGAAGCCCAGUUCAGAACAGAGGAAACCCUAUAGCAUGACGCUUUGGGUGAUAAGAACAGAGGAAACCCUAUAGCAUGACGCUUUGGGUGAUAAGAACAGAGGAAACCCUAUAGCAUGAUGCUUUGGGUGAUAAGAACAGAGGAAACCCUAUAGCAUGAUGCUUUGGGUGAUAAGAACAGAGGAAACCCUAUAGCAUGACGCUUUGGGUGAUAAGAACAGAGGAAACCCUAUAGCAUGACACUCUGGGUGAUAAGCUGUGUUAGCACCAUACUUAUCUUUUGCAAUUAAGGUCAAAAAGUUCUACCUGGGUUUCAUCAGACCACAGCAUAUUUUCCCCCAUGGCCUUGGGAGACUGAAUGUGUUUUUCCAAAUUUAGAUGUUCUUUUUUACAAGAAACAUCUUGCCACUCUACCCCAAAGUUGUGGAGAAUACAGGCAUACAGGAUAUGGCCAGGUUCUGCCAUAAAUUCCUGUCUCUCCUUUAAGGCUCCCUGAUGAGCUUCCUCCUUUCUCUGGCAUUGGUGUUGGAGAUACCUUCUCAAUGCCCUGCUGGUUCACUUUUUCCUCCACUUCUUAAUAAUAGUCUUCACAGUGAUCCAUGAUUUAUGAAAUGCCAUUAAAAUUCUUUUAAACCUCUGUCCCAACCUGUACUUUUCGAUAGUGCGACCCUCUGAGCCUUACUCUUAGCCUCUCUAACGUAUUUUCAUCCCAUCCAGGCUGUACCCCUUCCUUGUACCCUCUGAUGCCUGGAAUAGGUUACAGGUUUCCCUGUGACCUUGUAGUUACGAACAGUUGGAAAAUGUAAGAACUGACGGAUGAUCCAUUUGUAUUCCACUUGAAUAUUAUUAGUAACACUUUUAGAGAAAAGAGUCUGAAAUGAUUAGUCAUUAUUUCAGCCAUCGCAUCAGCAAAUCUGUAGUCACUAAUGUAGUCAAUAACCUGACACUCAGCAAACCCAAUGGAUUCACAACACAAGUGGUUUUGAUGCAGGUGGUUGAAAUAUUUUUUUUACUUACCAUGCUGAAUGAAACACCAACUCUAGUUAUCCAGGGAGAUUCAGCGGCUCCUAGCAGUACAGUCUGAGCACCGCGCAGCACCACGAGAGUGCAUUCAUGAGUAUUAUUGUAAAAAGACAGACAAAAAUGAUUCACUGGACAAGGGGCAUAUAGUAUAAAUUUCACAAAUGUUACCCCCAUGCCUGAACACCUUCUUGUAUGCUCUACCAAACAUAUACAUCUCAAAAUCCUGUAUCCAGUAUUUUUAGCUUUGUGGACAAAAUUGAUCGGCGCUUAUAAAACACAGCUAAUAAAUGAAAGGUAAGUCAGAAUAAUCUCUAUAUUCUUGUAUUUUGCAUUUUGAUUAAAUACAUUGAUGUUAGUCUGUUCGCUCAUUUAAUUUAAUUUAAUUUGGGUUAAUAAAAUCAUAUCAAUAACUAACUGAUAUACUGGUUUUGUUAUGUACUCAAUGAAUUUUUAUUUGUCAGGUUUUUUGGGUUGAAACGAAAUUCUCAGAACUUUUGUGUAUUUUAGAAACAUCAUUGUGACUUCCUUGAAGUAUCAACAUACUUUCAAAAACAUUCCAUACAUCAAACAAAUAUUUAGGGAGAAUAUUUUAGGUCAUUGACACUAUUUUCCUUCUUAAUUCAACUCAAUUCAAUUCAUCCAUCCAUCCAUUUUCCAAACCACGUAUCCUUCUGGGUCGCGGGAAGUCCGGAGCCUAUCGGAAGCUAUGGGCACAAGGCAGGGAACAACCCAGGACGGGGGACCAGCCCAUCGCAGGGCACACUCACCAGUGUGGAGCAUUCACCAUUCACUCUCACACCAGUCACUCACACAUGCACACCUACGGGCAAUUUAGUAAGUCCAAUUAGCCUUUGUUUUCUGGACUGUGGGGGGAAACUGGAGUACCUGGAGGAAACCCCACGACGACAUGGGGAGAACAUGCAAACUCCACACACAUGUGACCCAGGCGGAGACUCGAACCUGGGCCUCAGAGGUGUGAGGCAACAGUGCUAACCACUGCACCACCAUGCCGCCUCUCAAGUCAAUUCAAUUCAAUUCAAUUUCAUAUAGCCCCUUUCACAACAGCAUUGCCCCAGAGCUCUUGACAAGGGUGUGUCGAAAUCUAUCAUUAUAUCAUUUAUACAGAUGUAAAGAAAGAAAACCGGAAGACAACGGAGGCAAGUUCCUUUCAGCUCUGCGUUAUCUAUUAUUUAUCCACAGCAUUUUCUCUGCAUGGAACAGAGCAUCGUUUUCAAGCUGCUCAGCCUGGAGAGAAAAAAAAGGCAAAUAGCAGGCAGAAGAUAUCAGGCAUCUACUCUAUGCACCAGAUUUCAGCAGAGAUAUAUUUCAUCCUCUCAAAUCCCUCUUGCAGACAGUGUUAGACAGAUAUAUUUCAGUGGCAGCUAUUUCCGUCUUAAUGGAAAAACUGCUCAUUUAUACGUUCAGAUUCUUGUGUAGAGAUUAGUUUUAGAUUUAUACUUGUAUAAGAGAGCACUUUAUCUUGCCCGUCAUGUGAUGGGCUUAAACAAUUUUGGAUGGUGAAAAGCCAACCAAUCACAUGAUAAAGAAAUAUGCUCAGCGGCAUGCACCAGAGAUUAAGACCUCCAUUUUCUCUCAGUUCAUCAACAUCUGACCUGAGAUCUGUGCCAAACAGUCUCUCCAUCGCUCAUUUUAUACAAACAAUCUAGUGAUUGAGACUUCAGUUACAGUCAAGUCUGUAACCCUUUUCUUGCAGCAAAACUUGUCUUGCCUCUUGUCCUACGGUAUGCAAUAUAUUUCUUUUCUUGACAUGAUAAUGAGCAUUAAAUAAAUGCAUUUAAAUGUGUAAUUACUGUAUUUUGUACAACAUAUUGUGGUUAACGUCUUCCGAUGUCCCGUUAGGGUAACCUCUGGUUUUCCUUUUGAAUUUGUACCAUUGUGUGCAGUGUCCUGUAUGUCGUAUGUAAUCUUUUAAAUUAAAACGCUCAGACAGA